GUAGUUUAAAGGGCCGCGGUACUCUGACCGUGCAAAGGUAGCAUAAUAAUUAGGUCUUUAAUUGGGAUCUUGUAUGAAUGGUUGGACAAAAGAGACACUGUCUUUAUAAUAUAGUUUGAAUUUAACUUUUAAGUGAAAAGGCUUAAAUAACUUAGAAAGACGAUAAGACCCUAUAAAGCAUUUUAUUGGGGCGAUAAAGGUAAAAUUAUUAACUGCUUUAAAAUAUUACAAAAAUAAGUGAAAUGAUCCUUAAUAGAGAUUAAAAGAUUAAGUUACUUUAGGGAUAACAGCGUUAUUUUUUUUGAGAGUCCAUAUCGAAAAAAAAGUUUGCGACCUCGAUGUUGAAUUAAGAUAUCUUUGUAAUUGCAGCAGUUACAAUAGAAGGUCUGUUCGACCUUUAAAUUCUU
rnacentral:rRNA from 1 species